CAGCAGGUGACUCCGUGCCGGAUCCGUUUUCAAACCGGCAAAUCCGCGUUACAGUCACCUCCGUUUCACUGCUCUAAAACGGAUCCAGCCCGGUCCCGGUUUCCGUGGGCGGGAACAACAGUCGCAACGCAGAUUCGGCCCGUAUCCGCGGAAACGAGCGCGCGAAUUUUUUUCUGGAGUUUAGAAGAGGAGGCAGACGCAGACGGUGCUCGGUCGGUAUCCUACUUCAAAAACAUCACCAAAGAGCUGUAAGGAAUAACCAGUCCUCUACCAGUGCAGCAGAUUCUUGCCUUUGACUGUGGCGAUGACCAGAAGGAAUGUGCCAAAGCCAAAGAGGCCUUAACUGAGAUGCCUCAUGGGAAUUAAACGGCACAUAUGAAGUGGUUUGUAAUACCAUGGUUUUCCGACCUGUCCCGAUUGGUUCUUGAUGUGUUUAUGGUUCAUUAUAUGAAAUUAUUCUUUGUAUGUUUAUUUUUUCCCCAUUUCUUCUAUUUUUUUUUUUUUCUUCUUUACUUAUACAUUAAGAAAGGUCGUGAGAUUGUUUAACUGUUUGUGUAUCAAUGUUUUAAAGUAUAGUUCACCGGAAAAUGAGAAUUUGCUGUUAAUUUACUCACCCUCAAGCCAUCCAUGAUGUAGGUGACAUUUUUUUUCUUCAGUUGAACAGUAAAGAUUUUUAGCGUGGUCCUUGGUGAUUCGUAUAAUGCAAGUCAAUGGCUACCGUCACUUUGAGAGUCAUUAAAACAUAUUACAGGCAAAACAAAGUUAAUACCUGUGACUGAUGCUGACG